rnacentral:rRNA from 1 species
AGUAACGCGUGGGUAACCCGCCCUGUACAGGGGGAUAACAGCCAGAAAUGACUGCUAAUACCGCAUAAGACCACGGUGUGGCAUCACACAGAGGUCAAAGGAGAAAUCCGCUGAAGGAUGGGCUCGCGUCCAAUUAGCUAGAUGGUGAGGUAACGGCCCACCAUGGCGACGAUUGGUAGCCGGACUGAGAGGUUGAACGGCCACAUUGGGACUGAGACACGGCCCAGACUCCUACGGGAGGCAGCAUG